UACGUAGGCAGCGAGCGUUGUUCGGAAUUAUUGGGCGUAAAGCGCGUGUAGGCGGCUUUGCAAGUCGGGUGUGAAAGCCCUCGGCUCAACCGAGGAAGUGCGCCCGAAACUGCAGAGCUUGAGUACCGGAGAGGAUGGCGGAAUUCCCCAAGUAGAGGUGAAAUUCGUAGAUAUGGGGAGGAACACCGGUGGCGAAGGCGGCCAUCUGGACGGAUACUGACGCUGAGACGCGAAAAGCGUGGGUAGCAAACAGG
rnacentral:rRNA from 1 species